UACAGAGACUGCAAGCGUUAUUCGGAUUCACUGGGCGUAAAGGGCUCGUAGGUGGCCAACUAAGUCAGACGUGAAAUCCCCAGGCUUAACCUGGGAACUGCGUCCGAUACUGGUGGGCUUGAAUCCGGGAGAGGGAUGUGGAAUUCCAGGUGUAGCGGUGAAAUGCGUAGAUAUCUGGAGGAACACCGGUGGCGAAGGCGGCAUCCUGGACCGGUAUUGACGCUGAGGCGCGAAAGCUAGGGGAGCAAACGGG
rnacentral:rRNA from 1 species